CUCUUAUCCAGAGAAGGCUGAGGGAAUGGCCCUAUGAAGCCCGGCAACCUAGCACGUGAGAUGUUUCUUGCGCGCCAAGGUGCUAACUCCAACAGGUAGAGGUACCUGACAGAUAAGAG
rnacentral:ncRNA from 1 species